rnacentral:rRNA from 1 species
GAAUUCACUAGUGAUUCAGGCCUAACACAUGCAAGUCGAGCGAACCCUUCGGGGUGAGCGGCGAACGGGUGAGUAACGCGUGGGUAACCUGCCCUGUACACACGGAUAACAUACCGAAAGGUAUGCUAAUACGAGAUAACAUGUAAUGAUCGCAUGGUCGAUACAUCAAAGCUCUGGCGGUACAGGAUGGACCCGCGUCUGAUUAGCUAGUUGGUGAGGUAAUGGCUCACCAAGGCGACGAUCAGUAGCCGACCUGAGAGGGUGAUCGGCCACAUUGGAACUGAGACACGGUCCAAACUCCUACGGGAGGCAGCAGUGGGGAAUAUUGCACGAUGGGCGAAAGCCUGAUGCAGCAACGCCGCGUGAUCAAAGGAGGCCUUCGGGUCGUAAAGCUCUGUCCUCAAGGAAGAUAAUGACGGUACUGAGAGAAGCC